rnacentral:rRNA from 1 species
CCUACGGGCGGCACCAGGGGGGAAUAUUGCACAAUGGGCGCAAGCCUGAUGCAGCCAUGCCGCGUGUAUGAAGAAGGCCUUCGGGUUGUAAAGUACUUUCAGCGAGGAGGAAGGCAUUAAGGUUAAUAACCUUAGUGAUUGACGUUACUCGCAGAAGAAGCACCGGCUAACUCCGUGCCAGCAGCCGCGGUAAUACGGAGGGUGCAAGCGUUAAUCGGAAUUACUGGGCGUAAAGCGCACGCAGGCGGUUGAUUAAGUUAGAUGUGAAAUCCCCGGGCUUAACCUGGGAAUGGCAUCUAAGACUGGUCAGCUAGAGUCUUGUAGAGGGGGGUAGAAUUCCAUGUGUAGCGGUGAAAUGCGUAGAGAUGUGGAGGAAUACCGGUGGCGAAGGCGGCCCCCUGGACAAAGACUGAAGCUCAGGUGCGAAAGCGUGGGGAGCAAACAGGAUUAGAUACCAUCGUAGUC